GCGUCCUUAGCUCAGUUGGCUAGAGCAUAUGACUUUUAAUCAUAGGGUCUUGGGUUCGAGUCCCAAAGGUCGCACCA
rnacentral:tRNA from 1 species